rnacentral:rRNA from 1 species
AGUGAACGCUGGCGGCAGGCCUAACACAUGCAAGUCGAGCGGCAGCGCGGGGGCAACCCUGGCGGCGAGCGGCGGACGGGUGAGGAAUACAUCGGAAUCUACCCAGUCGUGGGGGAUAACGUAGGGAAACUUACGCUAAUACCGCAUACGACCUGAGGGUGAAAGCAGGGGACCGCAAGGCCUUGCGCGAUUGGAUGAGCCGAUGUCCGAUUAGCUAGUUGGUGAGGUAAAGGCUCACCAAGGCGACGAUCGGUAGCUGGUCUGAGAGGAUGAUCAGCCACACUGGAACUGAGACACGGUCCAGACUCCUACGGGAGGCAGCAGUGGGGAAUAUUGGACAAUGGGCGCAAGCCUGAUCCAGCCAUGCCGCGUGUGUGAAGAAGGCC